AAAUGGAAGGCAAAACAAAGACAUUUUCAAAUAAGCAAAAGGUGAUAGAAUGUGUCAUCCACAGACCUGCACUAUAAAAAAUGGUAGAGGAAGUUCUUCAGUAUGAAAGUGAAUGAUACCAGAUGGAAACUGAGAUCUACAAAAUGAAACAUCACUGGAAAUAGUAAAUACAUGGAUUUAUGCUGCCAGAGUGGUUCUUCUAGUAAGAAGCCCCUUGCCAUCAGACACUGCAUUUCACUUGGUGAUUUUCCAGACUCCUCAAAUCUUUUAUGGAAAGAGAGUUUCACCUGCCACCUGGAUCAUUUCCUAUUUUUCUGCAGCCACUUCAGGGCGGGGACCCAGUAUCACGAAGCUGCAAGGUAAAAAGGAUCAAACCUUAACUGCCUACAUGUGCUCACAGGAACAUAAGUGAGUGAGGCUCACCAGCAACCAGGAAGUGAGCUGAGCCUAACAUAUGGGAGAGAUCCUGUCUCAUCUGCAGGGAAGAGCUGCUAUAUAGGAAAGUAUCUGCUCAUUGCUGCCAUGUGGGAAUGCUGGUAUUGCUGGACUUUCUGAUGUUUUAGGAGAAACUGCUGAUCUGUGCAUGAAGUCUGAUAUAUAAAGAUGAUACUAUAUUUAUGUGUCUAUGGAUAA
ensembl:lncRNA novel transcript